rnacentral:misc_RNA from 1 species
GACCUUCUCUGUGUCCAGAUAAAGGUGGGCAUUUAGAAUUUUUACUACAUCAAAUUAGGAGAUAUAAGUAUUCAGUACUCUCUCCCCACUGAAUAUCAUAUGAUAUAUAUGAUUGGUCUAUUUAGAUGCUUACUGUUAUCUUCUUUAGUUUUUGUCAAUUCCUAGUUAAUUUAUCAAGUUGCCUUGCAGAAUGUUUCUCCAACGCGGCGUGGGCAUUUAGAAUUUUUACUACAUCAAAUUAGGAGAUAUAAGUAUUCAGUACUCUCUCCCCACUGAAUAUCAUAUGAUAUAUAUGAUUGGUCUAUUUAGAUGCUUACUGUUAUCUUCUUUAGUUUUUGUCAAUUCCUAGUUAAUUUAUCAAGUUGCCUUGCAGAAUGUUUCUCCAACGCGGC